rnacentral:rRNA from 1 species
GAGUUUGAUCAUGGCUCAGAUUGAACGCUGGCGGCAUGCCUUACACAUGCAAGUCGAACGGCAGCACGGGAGCUUGCUCCUGGUGGCGAGUGGCGAACGGGUGAGUAAUGCAUCGGAACGCAUCCUGGAGUGGGGGAUAACGUAGCGAAAGUUACGCUAAUACCGCAUAUUCUGUGAGCAGGAAAGCGGGGGACCUUCGGGCCUCGCGCUCUUGGAGCGGCCGAUGUCGGAUUAGCUAGUUGGUGAGGUAAAGGCUCACCAAGGCGACGAUCCGUAGCAGGUCUGAGAGGAUGAUCUGCCACACUGGAACUGAGACACGGUCCAGACUCCUACGGGAGGCAGCAGUGGGGAAUUUUGGACAAUGGGGGCAACCCUGAUCCAGCCAUGCCGCGUGAGUGAAGAAGGCCU